GACGAACGCUGGCGGCGUGCUUAACACAUGCAAGUCGAACGGAAAGGCCCUGCUUGCAGGGUACUCGAGUGGCGAACGGGUGAGUAACACGUGGGUGAUCUGCCCUGCACUUCGGGAUAAGCCUGGGAAACUGGGUCUAAUACCGGAUAGGAGCCAUUUUUAGUGUGAUGGUUGGAAAGUUUUUUCGGUGUAGGAUGAGCUCGCGGCCUAUCAGCUUGUUGGUGGGGUAAUGGCCUACCAAGGCGGCGACGGGUAGCCGGCCUGAGAGGGUGGACGGCCACAUUGGGACUGAGAUAUGGCCCAGACUCCUACGGGAGGCAGCAGUGGGGAAUAUUGCACAAUGGGCGCAAGCCUGAUGCAGCGACGCCGCGUGGGGGAUGACGGCCUUCGGGUUGUAAACUCCUUUCGCUAGGGACGAAGCUUUUUGUGACGGUACCUAGAUAAGAAGCACCGGCUAACUACGUG
rnacentral:rRNA from 1 species